UACGUAGGGGGCGAGCGUUGUCCGGAGUUACUGGGCGUAAAGGGCAUGCAGGCGGUCGGACGCGUUUUGUGUGACAGCGGGUGGCUCAACUUCGCGAGGAUACGAAAGACGGUUUGACUUGAGGGCUCGAGAGGGACACGGAAUUCCGGGUGGAGUGGUGAAAUGCGUAGAGAUCCGGAGGAACACCGAAGGCGAAGGCAGUGUCCUGGCGAGUGACUGACGCUGAGGUGCGAAAGCCAGGGGAGCGAACGGG
rnacentral:rRNA from 1 species